CGGCCUCCGAGAGAAACAGUCCCCAGCGCCACCUCCACGGUCGCUGCUACCGCUACUGAGCCAACAAAGGGGCGUGCGUACCGCGUCGCGCUGCGUCCGUCGCGUCCUCCUCUUGGGCGUACCGCGCCCCGCCCCGCCGCCCCUGCGUGGCGAGCGGGGAGACCCCACGGCCCGGCCUGGCCCCGGGAGCGCGGCGCCGCGGGAAACGCCGGCCCGGUUCCGGCCGCGGCCGCCCCCGAGGGCGGGGCGGGGGGCGGGGCGUGCUCCUGAGAAGGCCCCCGGGCCGGGUGGCGGGUUUUGCCGCAGGCGGGAGGGGUCCAGCCCCGCUCGCUGAAUCCAGCCGCGCCACAGACGCUGCCCGCCCGCCCGCCCGCCCCGGAGUCCUUCGGGGAAGUCCGCGGCUGUUGAGCUAAAAUUGCCGUUGCCCGAGCUGCUAAAUGGAAAUCGGUUUCAUGCGCAACCUGUGACCUGGGACAGGUGAACCCCCACCCCACUCCCCCCCCCCCUUUCUGAGUAGUUCUGCUUCCGUGCACCCGUACGGAUGAGCGAGCGGGGGCUCUGAAGUCGCUGACAGUGACGUCAUCUCAGAGGAGGGUUUCCUGACCUCAUCGCAGUAGGCACCUGCCUAUCCAGGACCCUAAGCGAUGUAAACAGUCGGGGCUUUCCUUAACCGAGCGCCGUGCGAGGGCUCAGCCAUUCCCUCUGCCUUCUUCGCGGAGCCACAGGACGCGGCCCUCGCGUGUCUGAGGCUCCAGAGGGAAAGGGGCUUGACCGAGGCCACGGAACGCGCCCUGCUUCAGCGGCGGGGUGACCUAGAACGUCAAUCGUGGAAACGCUUUAUAAUGCAUGACACAGACCAGGUGCUACACAGUGUAUAAAAUGCAUCGCAAUGUAACCCAAGACAAGCAGGAAUGGAAGUAACUGCACGGACCGAAUGCAGCAGCGAGGCAGUGCUGGCCUCUUAUCUAGAAAGGUGUUGUUGUGUCUUCUGCGUGUCGAUUGGCGGCCAGGAGUUUAACCGGGGAGGUCUCCAUGAAAACAUGAAAGUUAAAAAAAUAAUAAUAAAAUUAAAAAAAAAAAAACAUGAAAGUUGUUUGGAAGAGGAGGAGGGGGCCCACGUGCAUGUCUUCCACAGCUCUCCUGAUCUAGAGUUUCUCCAGGGCAAAUGCCCACAUCACCUCUCACAUCCCCAGAACUAG
rnacentral:lncRNA from 12 species